CCUCGCCCUGCCCCAGCUCGCGCACGGUGCGCGCACCCACUGGCCUGCGCCCACUGUCUGGCACUCCCUAGUGAGAUGAACCCAGUACCUCAGAUGGAAAUGCAGAAAUCACCCAUCUUCUGCAUCGCUCCCGCUGGGAGCUGUAGACCGGAGCUGUUCCUAUUCCGCCAUCUUGGCUCCUCCCCCAAUUUUUACUUUUCUUGUUCUUACUUUUUGAUGUUCAAGAUACCUUUUAUCAUUUCUGUUCUGUUUCAAAAACUUUGGCUAUUCUUUUAGAGAAGGUUUGCUAACAAUAAGUUCUCUUACUUUUCUUUCAUCCGAGACUAUCUUGAUUUCUUGUUCAUUCUUGAAGGAUAUUUUUACUAGAUAAGGGGUUUUUUUCUUUCAGCAUUUGAAAAAUAUUGUGCCAUUUCCUUCUGGCCUCCAUGGUUUCUCAUGAUAAAUCUGCUGUCAAUGAAACUGUUUCUUCCACCACCUUCCAUUCACCACCCAAAAUAGCAGGCCUCCUAUGAAUCCACACUGGUGGGGCAAGAGUAGUACCACCUUGUUACUGCCAUAUUGGAGUUGGAGUCCAGGUUCCUCACUUGGCAUUUGUUGACACCCAGGAUGGAGAGGCUGCCUUGUUACUGCUGGAUAGAGAUGGGAGU
rnacentral:lncRNA from 10 species